rnacentral:rRNA from 1 species
UACGUAGGGCGCAAGCGUUGUCCGGAAUUAUUGGGCGUAAAGAGCUCGUAGGUGGCUUGUCACGUCGGGUGUGAAAGCUUGGGGCUUAACUCCAGGUCUGCAUUCGAUACGGGCUGGCUAGAGGUAGGUAGGGGAGAACGGAAUUCCUGGUGUAGCGGUGAAAUGCGUCGAUAUCAGGAGGAACACCGGUGGCGAAGGCGGGUCUCUGGGCCGAUACUGACGCUGAGGUGCGAAAGCGUGGGGAGCAAACAGG